rnacentral:rRNA from 1 species
CACACGACUCUCGGCAACGGAUAUUUCGGCUCUCGCAUCGAUGAAGAACGUAGCGAAAUGCGAUACCUGGUGUGAAUUGCAGAAUCCCGCGAACCAUCGAGUCUUUGAACGCAAGUUGCGCCCGAGGCCACUCGGCCGAGGGCACGCCUGCCUGGGCGUCACGC